rnacentral:tRNA from 1 species
CGGGGCAUGGCGCAGCCUGGUAGCGCACCUGCUUUGGGAGCAGGGGGUCGGGGGUUCGAAUCCCUCUGCCCCGACCA